rnacentral:rRNA from 1 species
ACAGCAGCCGCCACGGGAAUACGUAGGUGGCAAGCGUUGUCCGGAAUUAUUGGGCGUAAAGGGCUCGCAGGCGGUUUCUUAAGUCUGAUGUGAAAGCCCCCGGCUCAACCGGGGAGGGUCAUUGGAAACUGGGAAACUUGAGUGCAGAAGAGGAGAGUGGAAUUCCACGUGUAGCGGUGAAAUGCGUAGAGAUGUGGAGGAACACCAGUGGCGAAGGCGACUCUCUGGUCUGUAACUGACGCUGAGGAGCGAAAGCGUGGGGAGCGAACAGGAUUAGAUACCCGCGUAGUCCCUGUCUCUUAUAC